rnacentral:rRNA from 1 species
CCUANGGGAGGCAGCAGUGGGGAAUUUUUCGCAAUGGGCGCAAGCCUGACGAAGCAACGCCGCGUGGAGGAUGAAGGUCUUCGGAUUGUAAACUCCUGUCGACCGGGACGAAUGCACUCGACCUAAUACGUCGGAAUGUUGACGGUACCGGUGGAGGAAGCCACGGCUAACUCUGUGCCAGCAGCCGCGGUAAUACAGAGGUGGCAAGCGUUGUUCGGAAUUACUGGGCGUAAAGGGCGCGUAGGCGGCCUUGUAAGUCUCGUGUGAAAGCCCUCGGCUUAACUGAGGAUCUGCACGGGAUACUGUAAGGCUUGAGUUCGGGAGAGGAAAGCGGAAUUCCGGGUGUAGCGGUGAAAUGCGUAGAUAUCCGGAGGAACACCAGUGGCGAAGGCGGCUUUCUGGACCGACACUGACGCUGAGGCGCGAAAGCUAGGGGAGCAAACGGGAUUAGAUACCCGUNUANUC